UGUUCGACAGUGGAAGUCUAGAAACACAAAACCACACCAUGUCAAAGGAGUGUCUAAAACUUCACAGGCAUCAGAAGCUCAGACCAAAACCGAAAACAAAGAAACCGACAGUGUUGAGGAAUCAAAAGGUUCUGUUCGGCAGCAGAGGUCCAGAAGGAUAAAACCACACCAUGUCAAAGGAGCAUCAAAAACUUCACAGGCAUCAAAAGCACAGCCCAAAAACAAAACCAAAGGAACAGACAGUGUUCAAGUUGUGUCAGACACUUCACAGGCAUCAAAAGCUUCUGUAACAAAGCACGAAGGCAAAAAUGAAAAAACAGACACUGAGGCCACAACUCAUGCCUGUCAUGAUGACAUUGAAAAAAUAAAUAAAAAAUUGUAUCUGUUAUAUAAUGUGUGUGUGUG